AGUUCGAUUCACCGGCUCCAGAUUGAACGCUGGCGGGAUACUUCACACAUGCAAGUCGAACGGCAGCACGGACUUCCGGUCUGGUGGCGAGUGGCGAACGGGUGAGUGUGUAUCGGAACGUGCCUAGUAGCGAGAUAGCUUACGCAGCGUAGCUGGCUGCAUACGCCCUUCGGGGGAAAGCGGAGACCUUCGAGCUCGCACUAUUAGAGCGGCCGAUAUCGGAUUAGCUAGUUGGUGGGGUAACGGCUCACCAAGGCGACGAUCGUAGCUGGUUUGAGAGGACGACCAGCCACACUGGGACUGAGACACGGCCCAGACUCCUACAGGAGGCAGCAGUGGGGAAUUUGGACAAUGGAAGCCACAGUCCAGCCAUCGCGUGUGCGAUGAAGGCCUUUGAGUUUAUCAAAGCACUUUUGGCAGAGGAAAAACGGCACGGGAUAAUACCCCGUGCAACGGUAAUACCUGCAGAAUAAGCACCGGUAACUACGUGCCAGCAGCCGCACUGGUAAUACGUAAGUGCAAGAAGCGUUAAUCGGAAUUACUGGGCGUAAAGCGUGCGCAGGCGGUUCGGAAGAGAAGAGAUGUGAAAUCCCGGGCUUACUUUGGAACUGCAUUUUGUACCGAGCUAGAGUGUGUCGGGGAGGUGGAAUUCCGCGUGUGGUAGAAGUAAAAAGUAGAUAUGCGGAGGAACACCGAUGGCGAAGGCAGCCUCCUGGGAUAACACUGACGCUCAUGCACAACGUGGGAGCAAACAGGAUUAAAAUACCCUGGUAAGUCCACGCCCUAAACGAUGUCAACUAGCUGUUGGGACGCUUCGGGCCUUGGUAGCGCCUUCGCAGCGUGAAGUUGACCGCCUGGGAAGUACGGUCGCAAGAUUAAGCCUCAAAGGAAUUGACGGGGACCCGCGAAGCGGUGGAUGAUGUGGAUUAAUUCGAUGCAGCGAAAAACCUUACCUACCCUUGACAUGUCUGGAAUCCCGAAAGAUUUAGGGAGUGCUCGCAAGACAGACACAGGUGCUGCAUGGCUGUCGUCAGCUCAUGUCGUGAGAUGUUGGGUUAAGUCCACAACGAGCGCAACCCUUGUCAUUAGUUGCUACGAAGGGCACUCUAAUGAGACUGCCGGUGACAAACCGGAGGAAGGUGAGGAUGACGUCAAGUCCUCAUGGCCCUUAUGGGUAGGGCUUCACACGUCAUACAAUGGUCGGGACAGAGGGUCGCCAACCCGCGAGGGGGCCAAUCCCGAAACCCGAUCGUAGUCCGGAUCGCAGUCUGCAACUCGACUGCGUGAAGUCGGAAUCGCUAGUAAUCGCGGAUCAGCAUGUCGCGGUGAAUACGUUCCCGGGUCUUGUACACACCGCCCGUCACACCAUGGGAGUGGGUUUUACCAAGUAGUUAGCCUAACCGUAAGGAGGGCGAUUACCACAGUAGGAUUCAUGACUGGGGUGAAGUCGUAACAAGGUAG
rnacentral:rRNA from 1 species